GGGCAGCACGGUUAUAGCAAUAUAUGGGUGGCGACCGGCAAACGGGUGCGGAACACGUACACAACCUUCCGGUGAGCGGGGGAUAGCCCAGAGAAAUUUGGAUUAAUACCCCAUACUAUAAUGAUCAGGCAUCUGGUUAUUAUCAAAGGCUUCGGCCGCUUAUUGAUGGGUGUGCGUCUGAUUAGGUAGUUGGCGGGGUAGAGGCCCACCAAGCCUACGAUCAGUAGCUGAUGUGAGAGCAUGAUCAGCCACACGGGCACUGAGACACGGGCCCGACUCCUACGGGAGGCAGCAGUAAGGAAUAUUGGACAAUGGACGCAAGUCUGAUCCAGCCAUGCCGCGUGAAGGAUGAAUGCCCUCUGGGUUGUAAACUUCUUUUACAGGGGAAGAA
rnacentral:rRNA from 1 species